rnacentral:rRNA from 1 species
GACGAACGCUGACGGCGUGCUUAACACAUGCAAGUCGAAGGGAGUGGCGAACGGGUGAGUAACACGUGAGUAACCUGCCCUUUUCUUUGGGAUAAGCCUGGGCAACUGGGUCUAAUACUGGAUGGAUUGGGAUGGGCUCGGGGCUUAUAAGCUUGUUGGUGGGGUAAUGGCUUACCACGGCUUUGCAGGGUAGCCGGUCUGAGAGGGUGGUCGGUCAAGCUAGGACUGAGAUACGGCCCAGACUCCUACGGGGGGCAGCAGUGGGGGUAAGUGGACAAUGGACGAAAGUCUGAUGCAGCGACGUCGUGUGGGGGAUGAAGGCCUUCGGGUUGUAAACUCCUUUCGCCCGCGGAAUGGUAGUGGGUAAAGAAGCGCCGGCUAACUACGUGCCAGCAGCCGCGGUAAUAC